rnacentral:rRNA from 1 species
AGAGAGAGACAUGCGCGCAUAUCAAUAAGCGGAGGAAAAGAAACUAACAAGGAUUCCCCUAGUAACGGCGAGUGAAGCGGGAAGAGCUCAAAUUUGAAAUCUUAAAGGGUUUCCCUUUACGAAUUGUAGUUUAAAGAAGUGUUUUCUGUUGAGGUUUUGGUAAAAGUUCUUUGGAAUAGGACAUCAUAGAGGGUGAGAAUCCCGUAUUUGACCUUUACUUUCAACUUUGUGAUACACUUUCAAAGAGUCGGAUUGUUUGGGAAUGCAGUCCAAAAUGGGAUGGUAAAUUUCAGUCUAAAGCUAAAUAUUGGCGAGAGACCGAUAGCGAACAAGUACCGUGAGGGAAAGAUGAAAAGAACUUUGAAAAGAGAGUUAAACAGUACGUGAAAUUGUCAAAAGGGAAGCGUUUGACACCAGUGUUGUUUUUCUGAAAAUCAAUUAAAGAACUGUUUAUGCUAAGCUGUUUAGACUUUAUCAGCUAUCUGUUUAGUUUUGAGCUUUUCUUUAAUGCACUUUUCAGUUAACAAGUCAACAUCAAUUUCUUUUGCUGUAAAAAAGCUUGAGGAAGGUGGCUUGAGAUUCGUCCUUAAGUGUUUAUAGCCUCUUGCCUAUGCAGUCGGAGAGAUUGAGGUCUGCAGCGUAGAUCCUUCGGGGCUAAAUGCAUUUGUGCUAAGUUAUAGCAUUUUAUAGACAACUUGUUGACUAUGAUUUGUCUUGUAGCUUACUCGCUUAUGUUAUUUUACCUACGCUUAGGAUGUUGACGCAUGAGAUAUACGC